AGAGUUUGAUCCUGGCUCAGAUUGAACGCUGGCGGCAGGCUUAACACAUGCAAGUCGAGCGGAAACGAUACCAGCUUGCUGGUAGGCGUCGAGCGGCGGACGGGUGAGUAAUACUUAGGAAUCUACCUAGUAGUGUGGGAUAGCUCGGGGAAACUCGAAUUAAUACCGCAUACGACCUACGGGAGAAAGGGGGCAGUUUACUGCUCUCGCUAUUAGAUGAGCCUAAGUCGGAUUAGCUAGAUGGUGGGGUAAAGGCCUACCAUGGCGACGAUCUGUAGCUGGUCUGAGAGGAUGAUCAGCCACACCGGGACUGAGACACGGCCCGGACUCCUACGGGAGGCAGCAGUGGGGAAUAUUGGACAAUGGGGGAAACCCUGAUCCAGCCAUGCCGCGUGUGUGAAGAAGGCCUUUUGGUUGUAAAGCACUUUAAGCAGUGAAGAAGACUCCUCGGUUAAUACCCGUGGACGAUGACAUUAGCUGCAGAAUAAGCACCGGCUAACUCUGUGCCAACAGCCGCGGUAAUACAGAGGGUGCAAGCGUUAAUCGGAAUUACUGGGCGUAAAGCGAGCGUAGGUGGCUUGAUAAGUCAGAUGUGAAAUCCCCGGGCUUAACCUGGGAACUGCAUCUGAAACUGUUAGGCUAGAGUAGGUGAGAGGAAGGUAGAAUUCCAGGUGUAGCGGUGAAAUGCAUAGAGAUCUGGAGGAAUACCGAUGGCGAAGGCAGCCUUCUGGCAUCAUACUGACACUGAGGCUCGAAAGCGUGGGUAGCAAACAGGAUUAGAUACCCUGGUAGUCCACGCCGUAAACGAUGUCUACUAGUCGUUGGGUCCCUUGAGGACUUAGUGACGCAGCUAACGCAAUAAGUAGACCGCCUGGGGAGUACGGCCGCAAGGUUAAAACUCAAAUGAAUUGACGGGGCCCGCCACAAGCGGUGGAGCAUGUGGUUUAAUUCGAU
rnacentral:rRNA from 1 species